rnacentral:rRNA from 1 species
AUUAAACGCUGGCGGCAUGCCUUACACAUGCAAGUCGAACGGCAGCACAGCAGAGCUUGCUCUGUGGGUGGCGAGUGGCGGACGGGUGAGGAAUACGUCGGAAUCUGCCCAAUCGUGGGGAGUAACUAACCGAAAGGUUAGCUAAUACCGCAUACGACCGAGAGGUGAAAGACGGGGACCGGCAAGGCCUCGCGCGAUUGGAUGAGCCGACGUCGGAUUAGCUUGUUGGUGGGGUAAAGGACCUACCAAGGCAACGAUCCGUAGCUGGUCUGAGAGGAUGAUCAGCCACACUGGAACUGAGACACGGUCCAGACUCCUACCGGGAGGCAGCAGUGGGGAA